GAUGAAGAACGCAGCGAAAUGCGAUAACUAAUGUGAAUUGCAGAAUUCCGUGAAUCAUCGAGUCUUUGAACGCACAUUGCGCCCCCUGGUAUUCCGGGGGGCAUGCCUGUCCGAGCGUCAUUACAACCCUCAAGCCCGGCUUGUGUAAUGGGCGGCCGUCUCUCCCCCCGGGGGGAGACGCCCCCGAAACUCAGUGGGGAUGUCGCGAUACCGAAGCCUCAGCUAAUGGGUAAACCACAGCUGCAAUGGCCGCGGCCGGCGUCCGCCUUCCACGGUCCGUCCGCCUAGCGCGGGCGGCCUUCUCAAGGUUGACCUCGGAUCAGGUAGGAAUACCCGCUGAACUUAAGCAUAUCAAUAAGCGGAGGA
rnacentral:misc_RNA from 1 species